rnacentral:lncRNA from 1 species
CAAACCCUAAUUUUCUAGUAUAAGUAGAGGUAACUUUUCAGAGCAAAGGGAGGCGAUUUUGGAGGAGAACAGAGAAGAGAAAAACCCAAAAAAAACUCAUCUUUUCAUCACUUUUCCAAAAAUUCGAAAUCCAUUAAAAUCACCUCCAACCUUCAAUUUUCUUCACCCAAAUCACUCCAAACACCUCCCUAAGCUUGAACCCACAAGAAAAACGAAGAAAAACCAUCAACAAAAGCUUACACAAGGUUCAAAAAUAGCAAAGAAAAGAGUAGGUGUUAACCCACCAAAACAGAGCUCAAAACCAGUAAGAUUCUAAACGUUUUAUACUCA